GAUUUGUUUUGGCCGCCGUCGAGCAAAUCUCACUCUUAGCGCAAUGAUAUUUUAGAAACGAGGAACUUCGUCAGCUGACUGUGUAGAGCAAUAUUGAUCAGAAGCCGUUCGGAUACGAGUUUGGGCCUUACGGUAGGAGAAUGGUGGGAUUGUUCUCCCGCCACGCGAAAUGUGGGUCAAAUCUAAGGUAUAGUAUUGGUCUUUGCUGAUAGAAGCGGAUUAUUGCAAGUGGCUCCCUAGCUGAAAUGAUGGUAAAAAUUUUUUUCUAACUUGUGGUGAUAGUAAUGCUCGAGCAGUUGGUUCUCAAUAACGUUCACUCUCGAUCGCUGUUUUGAUUCUGCGAGUACUGUGCUGUUCCACGCGAACUUUAAAGAACAAAUCCGUCGCAAUUAUGACGUCCCCAACAAUCAACGGCGGCAACGGCCACAAGGAAGCAAGCAAAAACGACUCCACAAGCACAGUCUCCGAGGACACACAGCAACGGCAGCAGACCCAAGAGAGGCCAACGCCGGCGCUGACCGCGUGGUGGAGAGUCUUCAAAUUAGCGAAUUUGCUGAUGCAGCAAGGUUGUUAGAUUCUAUGUAUUGUUGAUUAAUCAGCCAACGGACGCGCGUCGUCCGUUUAGGUUAGUAAAUCUCUAACUAUAGUAAGAACCAUGCCAAUAAUUACUAGUAAAUUUUACGCCAUCGUAUUUUAUAGGGAUAAAUAAACGGAGGGGAAAUGCUUUUACUAAGUUUCCAGUUGUAUUUGUUAAUCUUAUUCUAAUUCUAUUUUUGUUAAUGGUUGCGUGUUGCAAACGGGGUGGCAAGUCGCCGGUUCAUUGUUGCACUAUGUGAUAUGUGAUUAUAAUAUCAGUAUAAAUUAAGUCAAUAAUUUACUUCAUGUAUGUAAUACAAUAAAUGAUUGUCUGUUA